UACGUAGGGUCCAAGCGUUAAUCGGAAUUACUGGGCGUAAAGCGUGCGCAGGCGGUUUGCUAAGUCAGGUGUGAAAUCCCCGGGCUCAACCUGGGAACUGCGCUUGUAACUAGCAGGCUAGAGUGCGGCAGAGGGGGGUGGAAUUCCACGUGUAGCAGUGAAAUGCGUAGAUAUGUGGAGGAACACCGAUGGCGAAGGCAGCCCCCUGGGUCGACACUGACGCUCAUGCACAAAAGCGUGGGGAGCAAACAGG
rnacentral:rRNA from 1 species